rnacentral:lncRNA from 10 species
CAGGCCGCACUGGGCCAGCGCCACCUCCAGCGUCCUCGGCAGGGAGUUGUGGUGCCGUAGAGGGCGGUCCCCGCGGCCCACGCCGCACACCACCUGGGCAGGGGGAGACUCAGGGGGAGGCCCACACACUCCCUGCCCCCCACGCACACCCCCACCGCCUUGUGCCAAAAUUCAGACCAGACCCCUCACUGGACAUUCAAGAAGCCCCGUCCUCCAACGUGUCUUAAAUUGCACACGAGCUCUCCCUGCCACUCCCCAUCUGGUCCCCAGACCUCUCCAGGGAUUCUACCUACCCAGGCUUCCAGGCCCAGCUGGGGUCCCCCUCCAGGAUGGCUCCUGCAGCCCUGGGGGCCUGGGCCACCCUGGUGUGCCCCACCCUAGCAUCUCCCUGGGGCGCACCUUUCCCUACCCCACUGGAGCUCCCUGAGGGCAGGGUCGAAUCUCUCCCUCUCAGUGUAGCCUAGAGCGGGGUACUCAGGAGGGUCCGUAAGCCUUCCUGACUCUCCAGCUUAGAGGCCCCUCCUGAAGGCGUCCAGGCACUAGAGGUUUAUCAGGAGGCCCUGGGUCAGCCUCUACGUGGGCAAGAGCUCUCUGGGAAGACAAUUCAGCCCCCUGGGCCCUGGUACUACCCAGCGUGGGGCUGAGCACAGGGGCAGGGGCUCUUGGUGUGGGAGGGAUUCUGGAAGGGUUGCAGGAGAGGGAAGACGGUCAGACCCAGUAGUUUCCCCAGAGGCAACUACGACCCCCCUAAGGAUUUUGUCCUCUCUGCCCAGAGACGGCUCAGGGGCCCUUGGCAAACCACUACUGGGACUGGGCUGGCGUGUGGCAGGCAGGGUCACAGCCUGGGCCUGGGCCACGCUCACCUUGCUCAGCAGUGGCCUAUCACCCUGUGUCCGACACACCACAGCACAGAUUCGCACGGCCAGGCCCCAGGCCCAGGCCUGCCAAAAAGUAGGUGGCACGGCGCGGGGGGACAAAGUCAUCCAGGAAUGUCAGGCCCCCAGGGUGGAAGCUCACAGCCUUGGAGACUAGCAGGGCUGCCUCACCCGGCUGCCCGGGUGCUGGCACCUUCAUCAGCCAAGCAGGGGACAGGCAAAGGAGCAUGUUUCCUGUGGGCAGAGAAGGCAAGUGGCUGGCCAGGGAAGGCUUGAUGCCCUAUGCCCGGGCCCCCGGGUAGCGGAGUGGAAGCAGCUGAUCCCAGAACCCAUCCCCAUUCAGCAUGGCAGCUGCUCCGGUGGAAUGCAGGCAGUUGCCAGGGUUGGCGGGUAUUUUGGGAUGUGGCUGGGCCAGGGCAGGGCUGCCCUUUCUGUAGAAGGGGAUGGGGAAACUUGAGCAUACACUCACCCGGGCUCUGGACCCCACCCUCCAGCAGCACAGGCAGAAAGGUGCUGGGGGAGCCCAGAACGCACAAGGUCACCUCCGCCCCAGGACAGCCUCGGGAAAGAGAACAUGGCCCAGCUCACCAGGGGCGCCCUUGCUGUCUCUCUGCCCACCUUCCACCACCUCCACACCCACGGCCCCACCCUGAGCCCCCAGAGUUUUCCCAGGAAUCGGAUGAGACAGGGGACAGGCAGGGAAUGGAGGUGCCCGCCAGUCCUGCCCCGUGAAGCUGGUUUCCCCUUUCUGCAGCUGUUCCAGAGGUGCUGUGGGCUAGGUGACUGGAGACCUGAGUUCUAGCCCGAGCUCUGACUUUCUGUGUAACCUUGGAGGAGUCAGUGUUCCUCCAAGCCUCAGUUUCCAAGUUUGUACAAUGGGACCAAGUCUGUGAUUCUCAGGUAUUCUGCCUGUGAACCCUCUGUCCACACAAAGUCUGAUAUAUGUAACAGGCGUGGAGGGGCAGAAGGGGAGGAGUCUGGGGGGUCUCAGCUGCUGAGCUGCCUCCACCACAGCUCCCAAGACCUUUCUCUAGAAGCUUCGGUGCCACACAACGUGGUUUCCCAAUCCCAGGGCUGGGUCUUUUUGGGGAGGGGGUGAGGGCAGGGAGCCCAAUCCUUGACCUCACUGGUGCCAGAUGCCCUUGCAAACAAUGUCCGCCUACCCUAGGCCAACUGGCUGUGCCUUCCCUGCCUUCAGAUGGAACCAGAGCCUAGGGGAAGGGGCCGACCUUGACAGGGAUGAGCAAGCAGACUGGGCUGAGGGCCCCUCCCUGCCCCCAGAGGUGCCUCCCUCCAGGGAGCCCUUGGGCACCUGUGCGGGGCACCUGGCCGCGGUCCUGAGUCUCCGGAAGGCCAGCUUGCUGCAGACAGCUCUGCAGGAGGCUGUAGUAGUAGACAGUCCAAGC